rnacentral:rRNA from 1 species
UACAGAGGGGGCUAGCGUUGUUCGGAAUUACUGGGCGUAAAGGGCGCGUAGGCGGCCCUCUAAGUCGAACGUGAAAUCCCCGGGCUCAACCCGGGAACUGCGUCCGAUACUGGAGGGCUCGAAUCCGGGAGAGGGAUGCGGAAUUCCAGGUGUAGCGGUGAAAUGCGUAGAUAUCUGGAGGAACACCGGUGGCGAAGGCGGCAUCCUGGACCGGCAUUGACGCUGAGGCGCGAAAGCCAGGGGAGCAAACGGG